UCAUGUUCUUCUCCAUGUAUCUUCUUAUUCUUUUUCCUUCUUUUUUCUUUUUGUGAUAGGUAAAUAGAGUUUCUAUUAGAGGCGCCUAGAAGCGGCGAAAACAGUACACAUGAAGUAUACAAUUAGAACGCCCAAGAAACUAUGCAAAGAAGACAAAAAACCUUUCCCCUAACUAGACAUAUAGCCAUUCUAUAAAAAUCAAUCAUAGACAAAGUAUGAUCCUCUCUAUAAACACCCUAACCCAAUUUACAAGACUUAUUCUUUUUCUUCUUCAUGUGUCUUCUUCUUCUUCUUCACCUAGGCGUAAGUCCAAGACCAAGGCUUUCUUCUUUAAUAAGGGUUAACCAAAUGACAUUGUUCUACCUUAAUGUUAAGCAAUACAAUGUCGUUUUGCUCUUCUUUUUUAAAAAAUAAAACACAAAAAUAGAAAUUGAGGUGGGUUAACCAAGAGGCACUGUUCUAACCUUUAACUUAGCUUUUAAGCAAAGCAAAAUGACGUCAUUUUACUCUUCUUUUAAGAUAACAAAAAAACACAAAAACAAAAUUUGAGGGUCAAAACAACAUCAUUUUGGCUUGGGUUAAAAAAAGAAAAAAAAAGAUUAAAGAUGCAAAAGCAUACCUCCACCUGGCUACAGGCAAGCACCCAACAAGGGGUUAUGAUAAAAGCAUCCACAUCACAACUUCUAAUAUUCUACACGAGGAAAGACUAGACCAACAUCCCCCUUAAGAGGAUCCCAUCCAACCAAUAAAAUCAAGCAGAAAUGAAAGUUCCCUGCACAACCUUUCUAAACCAAAGCAAGAGAGACCAAAUAAAGACUUCUUUAGCUAGUGAACCAAAUGCUUCAAGCCUUUGAAUUUUUGCAAUUUUACUCCAACCACAUCACAAUAGGGUUGUUUACUGAACCUUCAUACACUUCUACCUACAAAGGUCCCAUCCUACCUUUGUAAAACCUCAUUCACCAACCUAAAAACAGCCAGGAAAUGGCCACACAAAAAGGAAAAAAAAAAAACCUUCUUACACUUCUACCUACAAAGCUCCCAUUCUACCUUUGUAAAACCUCACUCACCAACCUUAAAAGCACCCAGGAAAUGCCCACACAAAAAGAGGGCGGGGGGAGGAAAAGAAUAACUACCACAACAUAUAUAACAAAUAGUUAGUCCACUCCUCAUCUUUCCUACAUAAACACCAAC
rnacentral:lncRNA from 1 species